UCCAACCUGGGCGACAGAGCAAGACUCCGUCUCAAAAAAAAAAAAAAAAGAGAAGGGAUUCCCUAGAGAGUGAGGGAAACGUAACUGAUUUUUCCUCAGCCUCAACUAUAUGCCAGGACCCUGGACUGAGACACACUUUCCCUGGAGGACUCCUGCGUACAGAUGGCCUGUGGCAGUUGUAACAAAGGGCUGCAGAGGAAAACAGCAGUGCCACCAGAGUGUGUAGCAGGAGGCCAAAGCCCGGACUGCGGGUGGGCCAGGGAAGGUCUCCCUGAGGACAUGACAUUUAAACUGAGUGAUCCGCCUGUGAGUGAGUGGUGGGUGGGAAGGUGGGGGUAAGGAAUGUUCCAGGCAGAAGGAACAGCAUGUGCCAAGGCUCUGAAGAGGAAGAUGCUUGUCAACCCAAAGGAGGGAGAAUGUGCUACAAGCUAGGGGUGGCCGCGUCACAGUCUGGCCAAGGAAAGGAAAUUGGGAGUUGCUGUGUGGAAACUCAACUCUCUGGAACUGCUUCCUUCCUCCUGCCUCCGCACAAAUGUGAUGGCAGCAGCUGAGGCCACCAUCUUGCGACCAUGAGAGAAAAACCUGGAGAACAGGUGUGUCCUCAGCCCUGACUUCAGACCAACCUACACCCACCUCUAGGCGUGGGGGCUAAGUGAGGGAUGGAUUCACUGUUUCAUUUAAGCCCUGGUCACUUAGGUUUUCUGUUAUUCACACCCCAACAAAACCCUACAUGGUCCAGGAGGGCACCAGGCAAAGUAGAGAAGGGUACGAGUUUAUUUCCUGCUUCCCUGGAGACCACCAACCCUCUCACUCUUCCAGCCCAGCCUCUGCCACUUCCCAGCUGUCGGCCCUCCUCCAAACAAAUGUGCAUGCCAACACCCAGUGGGUGUGAGGCUUGUAGGCCCAAGUCUAGAGAGAGCUGAGUCUGGCAAACCCUGAAAGCCCCUGUCCUAGCAAGCCAGGCCACAGGUCUGUAGUAUCUGGGACCAGUGAAUAAGGGGACCGGGGGUGCUACUGAGACUCAGAAGCCCCAGGACUAGCCCAGGGUAGUUAGAACUGAGUGAGGUUAGCCAGGACUAACCUCACGCAGAUCGCUCCUCCCCCGUUCCCCUCCCUCCACCUUGGUUUGGAAGCCUCCCCAGAGCUCUCCCAGGCUGUCGUCAGCUGUAAACUCUGCCUCCACAAAAAUGCCCUGGGCAACCUGCAACUCACAGCCCUGCUGUCCUCAGAGUAUCAGCUGGAGACAGAUGUGCCCAGAAUUGAGGAUGGGGGGGAAAUGAGGAGAAAUGAGGGCUGAGGAGGGGUCAUUCUCAGUCCCUCCCUCUCGGUCACAGGAGGGUGUUGCCCAUGCUUUUGGGUGGGUCCCAGGCCCAUAGCUGCAAAUAUUCAUAUUGGCUACUCUUUAGUGAGCAAGGGUAUGUGCCAGGCAUUGGCAUUGUGCUGGACAUGCAUCAUCACACUGAGUCCUCACGGAAGAUGUAUUAUUCCCAUUUCACAGAAAAUGAAACUGAGGCUUGAGGUUAAGCGAUUUGUCCGUGACCACAAAGAGUUUUCAGGACUCAAACCCAGAUCUGUCACUGGGCAAGGUGGCUCACUCCUGCAAUCCCAGCCCUUUGGGAGACUGAGACCAGUGGAUCUCUUGUGGCCAGGAGUUCAAGCCUGGCCAACAUGGCAAAACCACAUCUCUACUAAAAAUACAAAAAUUAGCUGGGCGUGGUGGCAGGCGCCUGUAAUCCCAGCUACUCAGGUGACUGAGGCAGGAGAAUUGCUUGAACCCAGGAGGUGGUGAUUGCAGUGAGCCUAGAUCGUGCCACUACAUUCCAGCCUGAGUGACAGAGUAAGACUCUGACUCCAAAAAAAACCCAGAUCUGUCUGACUCUGACACCCAACCUUUAAUCAUUCGCUGUUGUCAAUGUCACCUCCGUUUUGACCAGCCAAGCCAGACCUCGCUGGAGCCUGUGGAGAAGCCAAGGUAGAAAAGGGUUGGAAAAGAAUGGUAAAAUAGGCCAGGUGUGGUGGCUCACCCCUGUAAUCGCAGCACUUUUGGAGGUCAAGACAGGCAGAUUGCGUGAGCCCGGGAGUUCAAGACCAGCCUGGGCAACAUAGUGAGACCCUGUUUCAACUUAAAAAAAAAAUGGUAAUGAACAAUUGUCAAUUCUGAGCAGCCGGGUAUGGUAUGACCCUGUGUACUUUUUCUGUAUUUUAAAAUGUUCUCAAAAUAAAACCUGUU